GACGAACCGUGCGAACGUUAUUCGGAAUCACUGGGCUUAAAGCGCGUGUAGGCGGGCGGGGACGUCGGCGCCUGAAAGCCCCCGGCUCAACCGGGGAAGCGGGCCCGGGACGCCCCGCCUCGAGGGACGUAGGGGGACCUGGAACUUCCGGUGGAGCGGUGAAAUGCGUUGAGAUCGGAAGGAACGCCCGUGGCGAAAGCGAGGUCCUGGACGUCCGCUGACGCUGAGACGCGAAAGCCAGGGGAGCGAACGGG
rnacentral:rRNA from 1 species